rnacentral:rRNA from 1 species
GACGGAGGGUGCUAGCGUUGUUCGGAAUUACUGGGCGUAAAGGGCGCGUAGGCGGCCAGGUAAGUCGGGUGUGAAAGCCCGGGGCUCAACCCCGGAACGGCACCCGAGACUGCGUGGCUCGAGACCGGAAGAGGUGAGUGGAAUACCCAGUGUAGAGGUGAAAUUCGUAGAUAUUGGGUGGAACACCGGUGGCGAAAGCGGCUCACUGGCCCGGUUCUGACGCUGAGGCGCGAAAGCGUGGGGAGCAAACAGGAUUAGAUACCCUGGUAGUCCACGCCCUAAACGAUGCGAGCUGGAUGUCGGGGGACUUGUCCCUCGGUGUCGAAGCUAACGUGAUAAGCUCGCCGCCUGGGGAGUACGGCCGCAAGGUUAAA